AUUUAUAAUACCAUUACAGAUUCCAUGUGACGGAUACAGAUUGGUAUUCCCACCAGCACUCGGUGUCAUAUUUUUCUCUGUGAUAUACUAUAUUGUGUCUUCCAUCGUUCAGCCUGUACACCUUACCUACGCCUUAGUUUCAGGUGCUUUAUUUGGUUUCAUCAUGUACGAUGUGCAGCACUACUUUUUGCACCAUAGCAACCCAAGAAGCAAGGUGAUGCGCAAGAUCAAGGCAUACCAUUCCAACCACCAUUUUGUGCAGCACUCUAGGGGAUAUGGCGUCUCAAUAUUUGGCCGGAUAUGGGAUGUGGUCUUCAAUACAGGCUUUGAUGAUGUGGACACCAAACUGGAAUAACCAGCAGUCUAGCUGUGUAUUUGUGAUAGAUAAUGAACUGCAAAUUGUCGGCGUUAUACAUACGUUUCCCGCCCUCUCUAACUAUAUUAUUUUAUCUUACAAUGCAACUCUUUAUACAAUUUGUACUUCAACAAAACAACUUUAUAAGAGUUUCUCCAUGAUGGAAUUGUUUUAUAUUACUGUUUUGUAUCACUGUUCUUUUUUCUGUGUGUGUAGUAUUCAAUUUGUCAACCAUGAUUGGAUAAGACAAUCCACGUAAUGCCAAUUAAAUUGCAUUGUGGGUAAUUUAUCAAAAGCGAAAUGCAAAUAAUAUCGUAUUAUUAUACCAUACCGAUAUUAUCAUCUGUUUUUCCCUUGUUUCUAAGAUUUACCUGAAAUUUCACCUGGGUGACUACUUGACUUAUACUAGAAUUGAACAUUUGAUGGCCAUUAUACCUAAACAUUUUUUCUGGGCUACAAAUGUUGG